AGAGUUUGAUCCUGGCUCAGGACGAACGCUGGCGGCGUGCUUAAUACAUGCAAGUCGAACGAGGUCCAACGGGUGGCAACACCCGUGAAGACCUAGUGGCGAACGGGUGAGUAGCACGUGAGCAACCUGCCCCGAAGACUGGGAUAACACCGGGAAACCGGUGCUAAUACCGGAUACCCCCACCAGACCGCAUGAUCUUGUGAGGAAAGGAUUCUGCUUCGGGAGGGGCUCGCGGCCUAUCAGCUUGAUGGUGAGGUAACGGCUCACCAUGGCGACGACGGGUAGCUGGUCUGAGAGGACGAUCAGCCACACUGGGACUGAGACACGGCCCAGACUCCUACGGGAGGCAGCAGUAGGGAAUCUUGCGCAAUGGGCGAAAGCCUGACGCAGCAACGCCGCGUGAGGGACGAAGGCUUUCUGAGUUGUAAACCUCUUUCAGCAGGGACGAUCGUGACGGUACCUGCAGAAGAAGCACCGGCCAACUACGUGCCAGCAGCCGCGGUGAUACGUAGGGUGCGAGCGUUGUCCGGAUUUAUUGGGCGUAAAGAGCUCGUAGGCGGUUCGAUAAGUCGGGUGUGAAAUCUCCAGGCUCAACCUGGAGUCGCCACUCGAUACUGUCGUGACUAGAGUCCGGUAGGGGACAUGGAAUUCCUGGUGUAGCGGUGAAAUGCGCAGAUAUCAGGAGGAACACCAGUAGCGAAGGCGGUGGUCUGGGCCGGCACUGACGCUGAGGAGCGAAAGCGUGGGGAGCGAACAGGAUUAGAUACCCCGGUAGUCC
rnacentral:rRNA from 1 species